CCCUUAGACGUUCUGGGCCGCACGCGCGCUACACUGACCAGUGCAACAAGCAUCCGUCCUUGGCCGACAGGCCCGGGCAAUCUUUGAACGCUGUUCGUGAUUGGGAUAGACCUUUGCAAUUAUGGGUCUUCAACGAGGAAUUCCUAGUAAACGCAAGUCAUCAGCUUGCAUUGAUUACGUCCCUGCCCUUUGUACACACCGCCCGUCGCACCUACCGAUUGAAUGGUCCGGUGAAAUCUCGGGACGGCGGCUUGGUCGCUUGCGUCCGACUGCUGAAACUUGAUUAAACCAUAUCAUUUAGAGGAAGGUGAAGUCGCAACA
rnacentral:rRNA from 1 species